rnacentral:rRNA from 1 species
CCAGACAGCCAGGAUGUUGGCUUAGAAGCAGCCAUCAUUUAAAGAAAGCGUAAUAGCUCACUGGUCGAGUCGGCCUGCGCGGAAGAUGUAACGGGGCUAAACCAUGCACCGAAGCUGCGGCAGCGACACUGUGUGUUGUUGGGUAGGGGAGCGUUCUGUAAGCCUGUGAAGGUGUGUCGUGAGGCAUGCUGGAGGUAUCAGAAGUGCGAAUGCUGACAUAAGUAACGAUAAAGCGGGUGAAAAGCCCGCUCGCCGGAAGAC